GGUUCGAUGGUGUAGUUGGUUAUCACGUUUGCCUAACACUUCCAAGUGGUACGCAAAAGGUCUGGAGUUCGAGCCUCUGUCGAAUCA